rnacentral:rRNA from 1 species
UGAGGGGCAUUCCCUUGAGUAAGGGCGACUGAAAGGGGAUCAGCCCAGCGCAUAACCUCCCGGUCGUGUCUUGGCCGUGGAGGGGUGUUGCGUUUCGGUGGAUCCGUACCGCUCGAGUUGCUGACCGCCUAAGUCAUUGCUUGAAUGCAGCCCCGAGGAGGGUGGUAGGCCCGUGUGGCGGCGCCUGUAAAAAGGUUGGAGGCAGCUUGGGCGGAGGGGUCUGUACCGUAGAGUCGGGUUGCUUAGUACUGCAGCCCUAAGUAGGUGGUAAACUCCAUCUAAGGCUAAAUACGAGCACGAGUCCGAUAUUUGACAAGUACCGUGAGGGAAAGCUGAAAAGGACUCUGAAGAGAGAGUUCAAGAGGACGUGAAACCAUUAGAAGCUGAAACGGGUGGAACCGUGAAGGAUGAAAGAGGGGAUUCAGGGCGUGGGUGCGUGGGUGGAGGCUGGAAGUCUGAGUCUGAGAGAGGACCGUUGCUAUGUGAGGUUGAGCGGCGACUUCCCCUCGUGAGCCCGCGUGCCGGCGGUCUUAGUUCUCCCUCGAGUAAUUGUGGUGGCGACCCGCUGCCGGGACCCCUGUGGCCCUUCUGGACUGGUAACCUGCACCUAGCGGUGUAGGUGAUGACCGGAGGGGAUGCUUUGCGGGUGCUGGCGGCGGUGACUGCAAGGAGGCGCUUCCGUUUCGGCGGAGGCGCCUCUCGCCAUGUGAGAGAGAUCGGUAAUCCACCCGACCCGUCUUGAACCACGGGACCAAG